GCAUGUCUACAACAUAGCAUUAAUGCACUGAAUCCCAUUAGAACACCACAGUUAAGUGCACUGAGGUUAGAGUAGUACUGGGAUGGGUAACCGCCCGAGAAGUCCUAGUAUUUUACAUGCC
rnacentral:rRNA from 1 species